rnacentral:siRNA from 1 species
GUAGACAUUUGAGGUGUACUA